rnacentral:lncRNA from 1 species
UUCAGGAAGGAGAAAGUAGAAACAACCGAAUAAACAGCAACAUAAAUCACCUAGACAUGUAUAUAUUUAUACAAGAAUUGUACUACAGCAAUCACAAUCCAUCUGCUUCACCUGCAAAUCACUCACUCGAAUCACAGCCACAGCAGGGGGGGUACAGUAGCUAGCUCACCACGGUUAACGGUAUAGUUAACACAACAGAGCCAAGAAGAAUCACACCAAGCUAAGCAUUUAUUUGUCGAUGAACAACAAUUCUUUAACGAACCCAGGAAUCGAUAUGUCUUGAAAUCUAUCAGUCAUCCUUCUUGCAGCAGCAGCAGAAGCACUCGAGGCAGUGCUCACAGGUUUCGUAGCAACAGAAGCAGCAGCACAGCAUGAACAGGCUACCAAAAAAACAAACAUGAAAAACCAGAUUAAUAGCAGCUAAUUAACCUUACACGAUGCGUCAUGCAGGUAUGCAGAGUGCAACACCUCAGAAGUUCAGAGUUCAGGGCUAGUCUGAUAUUGGUACUGAAGCUACUGCAUAUGCAGCAAGAAACAAGCAGUAUGGUCAUGCGGCAUCAAACAGUUUUUAAUACAGAGGUAAAACGGUGGAUAUCUAUCUGUAUAUUUACAUGUCAUCUAGAUAAUUAUCAAAAAGAACAUAAAAAAGUUGAUAGAUAGAUUAAUACGAGUUAUAUCACUCUAUAAACAUGUAAGAUUAAAUUAAACUUCUACAAGUUAUAGAAAAAAAUUAAACUGAAACUAAGCAUACGUAUAUUCAUAAUUAUUUUUGUUACGUAGAUGUUGAAUUUAAAUUUACAUGUUUGUGAAAUGAUAAUAAAUCAUAUUAAUAUAUCUUAUCAAUUUUUUUAUAUUUUUUAUAACUAUUUAAAUGAUACGGAGACAACCGGUGGACAUCCCGUGUGCCUUGUGCAUGCAGAUGCAGUGUUGUGUUCUGUACAAAC